ensembl:lncRNA
AUGGAGAAACCUCGAUUAUCGGGUCUGAUAAUCCCAGAGAAGGACUCGGGAAACGCCGGUUCCAAGGAAGCAAGAUUCCUGUGGGUGCGGUUCACUGCAGCUGCACCUGGGAGAGACGUGAGCAGCCAUUCCGUGUCUGGAGCAUCUCUGAUCUGGUGGGAUGAAUGGCAGAGCCCUGGCGAAGAGGUGAAGAGGCGGCUCUUGUGGGUAGUGCCAGCACCGCCCAGCCCUGCUCUGUGUCCUCAGGGGCUGCGGGAGUCUGUGCAGCCCCAGCAUCCUGGUGCAUGUUUCACCGCUUCUGCCGCCUUCCCUUACUGGGGGCCAGAAGCCCUGGGCAUCCGGGUGUUCAGGCAGGGCCGGGCGCAGCCUGCAUCUGUGGGAAGUGGAAGCAGAGCUGGGUUUGGGGGUCGUGGGUGAGUCACUUGGAGUUGCGCCCAGGGUCACUGCAGACCCAGGCCCCUGCCAUGCAGGCCGAUGACAAUAGAAGGUAGAUGCUGCCUUGUCCUGUGAGAAGUGUGAGAAUCGGGCAACGCCAGGGCUCCACCCUAUCCUAGCAUGCCCAGGGCAUCUGCCUCGCAGGGUCACUGCCUCUCAGCAGCCUCCUGCAAAGGGAAGUGCAGGGCUGCCUCCAGCUGCAGACUUGAGCCAGUCAUGCUAAGCACUGUGGUACCGUUUACUGAGGAUUUAGGUGCCGGGCACUUUGCCUCAGCAAAAAUGUAUAUAAAUGUAAACUUUUUACGUACAUUUUCUCAGUACAUACAACACUCUGUGAAAUACAAAUGAUCAUUAUUUCGAGUGUACAGCCGUGGCAUAAACACUCCUCAGAGCUGCUAAGUGGCAGAGUCAGGAUUCAAACCCACACCUGUGUGAUGUCAAAACUCACAGGAGUGUUUAACACAACUUACCACAAGCUAAUGAAGACCCAGCUUCAGAAAUCCCACCUUCGUGGGUCCCUUCGAAGGCACUGGGAAGGUUCUAGCAAUGUGUUCCCAUGGGCAUAUGUUUUUUAAAAAUUUGCCCAACAGAAAAAUAAAUUGCAAAACUAAUAGAUUAUUUCCCUAGUU